rnacentral:lncRNA from 1 species
ACGUGGACACCAAGGUCCUAGCUACCAUGGGACGUGUCCUACAAGGGCACUGGGGUCAUAUCUAUGGGUCCCACCAUGGGGCAUGUGUCCUGCAUGGACAUUGGAGUCGUACCCAUGGGUCCCACCAUGGGACGCGUGUCCUACGUGGACACCAAGGUCAUAGCUACCAUGGGACCUGUCCUACAUGGGUACUGGGAUCAUAUCUAUGGGUCCCACCAUGGGACGUGUCCUACAUGGGCAUUGGGGUCAUACCUAUGGGUCCCACCAUGGGACACAUGUCCUAUAUAGACACUGGGGCCAUAUUUAUGGGUCCCACCAUGGGAUAUUUGUCCACCAUGGAGACUGGGGUGGUACCUAUGGGUCCCACCAUGGGAUAUUUGUCCACCAUGGACACUGGGGUGGUACCUAUGGGUCCCACCAUGGGAUAUUUGUCCACCAUGGCCACUGGGGUGGUACCUAUGGGUCCCACCAUGGGAUAUUUGUCCACCAUGGCCACUGAGGUGGUACCUAUGGGUCCCGCCGUGGGACGUGUGUCCUAGGUGAGCACUGGGGUCGCACCCAUGGGUCCCGCCUCAACACAAUUCCGCUACGGGCACCCCCAUCCCACCCAGGUCCCGCGAGGACACCAGCUCCUUCCCAUGGGUCCCGCCUCAGACCAGGCCACCCACCCACACCCCACACGGACGCACGUGCCCCUCGGCGUGGGUCGUCCCUCGCCCCGGCCCCACGUCCCACCCAGACGAGGACACGCAGGCCCUACGCCGACACCGGGGCGGCACCCGUGGGUCCCACCAUCCCCUCUGGGUGCCCCCCAAGGCCCCGUCCCCGCACGGUGACGGCGCUGACCUUGGCCCACCCGGGGCACAUCGACCGGCGCUCCGCCUGCGCACGGGGACGAGGGGACAGAGGGACCCCCAGGGCGGCAGGUGAAAAGUGGCCCACGUCACGGGGGAGCUGGGGUGAUCCGGGGACACGGGUGGGGCCCACGUCCCCGUGUCCCCACGCAGAGCUGUGCCUGUCCCCGUGCUGUCCCCCGGUGCCUGCUGUCACCUCCCCGCUGGCAGUGGCCGGGGG